rnacentral:rRNA from 1 species
GACGAACGCUGGCGGCGUGCUUAACACAUGCAAGUCGAACGGAAAGGCCCUGCUUUCGUGGGGUGCUCGAGUGGCAAACGGGUGAGUAACACGUGAGUAACCUGCCCUUGACUUUGGGAUAACUUCAGGAAACUGGGGCUACUACCGGAUAGGAGCUCCUGCUGCAUGGUGGGGGUUGGAACGUUUCGGCGGUUGGGGAUGGACUCGCGGCUUAUCAGCUUGUUGGUGGGGUAGUGGCUUACCCAGGCUUUGACGGGUAGCCGGCCUGAGAGGUUGAACGGGGACAAUGGGCCUGAGGUACGGACCAGACUCCUACGGGAGGCAGCAGCGGGGAGUAUUGCACAGUGGGCGGAAGCCUGAUGCAGCAACGCCGCGUGCGGGAUGACGGCCUUCGGGGUGUAAACCGCUUUCGCCUGUGACGAAGCGUGAGUGACGGUAAUGGGUAAAGAAGCACCGGCUAACUACGUG